rnacentral:tRNA from 1 species
GCGCCCGUGGCUCAACUGGAUAGAGUAUCGGACUUCGGAUCCGACGGUUAUAGGUUCGAAUCCUAUCGGGCGUG